AUUGAACGCUGGCGGCAUGCUUUACACAUGCAAGUCGAACGGUAACAGGCCGCAAGGUGCUGACGAGUGGCGAACGGGUGAGUAAUGCAUCGGAACGUGCCCAGUCGUGGGGGAUAACGCAGCGAAAGCUGCGCUAAUACCGCAUACGAUCUAUGGAUGAAAGCGGGGGACCGUAAGGCCUCGCGCGAUUGGAGCGGCCGAUGUCAGACUAGGUAGUUGGUGGGGUAAAGGCUCACCAAGCCGACGAUCUGUAGCUGGUCUGAGAGGACGACCAGCCACACUGGGACUGAGACACGGCCCAGACUCCUACGGGAGGCAGCAGUGGGGAAUUGUGGACAAUGGGCGCAAGCCUGAUCCAGCAAUGCCGCGUGCAGGAAGAAGGCCUUCGGGUUGUAAACUGCUUUUGUACGGAACGAAACGGUCCUGGUUAAUACCUGGGGCUAAUGACGGUACCGUAAGAAUAAGCACCGGCUAACUACGUGCCAGCAGCCGCCGUAAAAC
rnacentral:rRNA from 1 species